UUUCUUCUUCCCUCAUAUUAUUACUUGUUAUAGUGUAAAAUCAUACAACUAGUCAAGCCAUGCAUAAAUGCCUCAUUAACAUGUUUGUAAGAUUUUACACUAUAACAAGUAAUGAUAUGAGGGAAGAAGAAAGAAUAGACUAAGAUUUAGAAUUCUCAGCCAAAGUCAUGCAAUAAGAAUCACUUUCUGCUUUCUGUUCUUGCCUUUUACUUUUUCUACACUUACCAAACUUCAAAUGUGAAAUUGCAAGUGCAAAUAGCAGGUUUUCUAUGCUUUGUUUUAGCUGUCAGCCAGGACGCCAGAAACCUUUC
rnacentral:misc_RNA from 1 species